rnacentral:rRNA from 1 species
UACGAAGGGGGCUAGCGUUGCUCGGAAUCACUGGGCGUAAAGGGUGCGUAGGCGGGUCUUUUAAGUCAGGGGUGAAAUCCUGGAGCUCAACUCCAGAACUGCCUUUGAUACUGAGGAUCUUGAGUUCGGGAGAGGUGAGUGGAACUGCGAGUGUAGAGGUGAAAUUCGUAGAUAUUCGCAAGAACACCAGUGGCGAAGGCGGCUCUCUGGAACGCAACUGACGCUGAGACGCGAAAGCGUGGGGAGCAAACAGG